GGAUUAGAUACCCUGGUAGUCCACGCCGUAAACGAUGUGUGCUAGCCGUCGGAUGUUUGGCAUUCGGUGGCGCCGCUAACGCAUUAAGCACACCGCCUGGGGAGUACGGUCGCAAGAUUAAAACUCAAAGGAAUUGACGGGGGCCCGCACAAGCAGUGGAGCAUGUGGUUUAAUUCGAAGCAACGCGCAGAACCUUACCAACCCUUGACAUGGUGAUUUUGGAUGGUGGAGACACUUUCCUUCAGUUCGGCUGGGUCACACACAGGUGCUGCAUGGCUGUCGUCAGCUCGUGCCG
rnacentral:rRNA from 1 species